AUGACGCAAACUGCCUCGGCGCGCGUGCCCCGCGAACGAUGAAAAAUAUUGCAGUGUCAACUUAUCAGUAACCGGCGGAAAAUCUAAAACGGGCUUCACGACGCUUCCAGAAACGAGCAUUGAUAAAUAUUUUGAAGUGUUUUAUAUAAUGCUACGAGUGAACCGGGAUUGUUUUUAUAAUCGUUUAUUGUGGAUGUCCAAUAGUUACAUGGAAACAGAUUUGAGCCAAAGCAAACAUAGAUUCGUCCAGUUAAUUUUGUAUAUUUGUUGGAGCUUCUAACCGUUACGUCACUGCUAAGGAGAUAAAAUGCAGUUUAAUUAAAGACUGUUCUAAAAUCAUGGGAUGAUGUUUGAUUUUAAAAUGGAUCUGAUUAAGUGAAACACUUGAAAAGACAAAAACAUUGCUCUUGAUUGAAAAACAAAUAUUACCUGCAGUGCACAGGAUGCAUUACAUAUACAGCUGCUAUAAAUAUACAGAACAAAAAACCAGCGAUGCAACAGAGCUACCUGCAGUAAUGGUUUAUUACUCACGGAAUACAAGUGAAUCACGCUCGAAAUAUGAACAAAAUUCUGAAGCAACCUAAUACUAAAUUAUACGAUAGAAUAAAUUCUUUAUUGUAUUAUACUAAAAAAAUUAUUAUUCUAAAGUUGUUAAAUUAUUUAUUGUAUUAACCACUUUAGGUCCU